rnacentral:rRNA from 1 species
UACGGAGGGGGCUAGCGUUGUUCGGAGUUACUGGGCGUAAAGCGCACGUAGGCGGCUUUGUAAGUUAGAGAUGAAAGCCCGGGGCUCAACUCCGGAAUUGCCUUUAAGACUGCAUCGCUAGAAUUGUGGAGAGGUAAGUGGAAUUCCGAGUGUAGAGGUGAAAUUUGUAGAUAUUCGGAAGAACACCAGUGGCGAAGGCGACUUACUGGACACAUAUUGACGCUGAGGCACGAAAGCGUGGGGAGCAAACAGG